AUGGAUCCCCCCAAUCGUGUCCCGAAUGGCCGCUUCUCCUUGUGCCCAGACGGUGAAGAUUGGGGCGGCAUCUUCAUGCCCAUGGGAUCCCGCCAUGGCCUCCUACUCAUCUUCCACCUUUCGCGGAAGCUGCUCCUGGUGUCGGUCCCCUUCAACGUCGACCAGCACCGCCUUGCCGUUCCCCCGGGGUUCGAUUUGGAGAAGGCCCCGGUCAGCGGGGCGGUGUUUCGUGCGCCCGGAGACAUCCGACACUUCCAGGUGGUGUUGGUAACCACAGAGACAGACGAGCAACAGCAUACACGGGUCAUCGCCCGUGUUUACUCGUCGGAGACUGGAGGAUGGGGCGAUUGCAUCUCAACACCACUUCCAUCCAAACUUCCCACCAAGAGUCGUGUGGACUUUACUAUCGGUGUGCUAGUUGGGCAUUGCCUUUAUUGGUUGCUCAAUGACAGGUCGGCAACCUCUGACAUUUUGGAUGGCAUCCUUGAGUUUGAUUUGGAGAGGCAGAUCCUAGCUGUGAAGCCGGUGCCAGUGGAUAUUCCCAAGAAAAACAUGUGCCAAUUCCAGGUUAUGCGGGCAGAGGGUGGCGGCCUUGGCAUUCUCUUUCUGUCAAAUUUCAGUGCCCAGUUAUGGAAGAUGGCGACUGAUUCUGAUGGCGUUGCUUCAUGGGUUCUGGGAAGAACCGUUGAACUGGACAAACUACUUUCCCUGAAUACAGAAGAGGGAGAGUCCCUAGUUAUACAAGGGUUUGCUGAAUACAAUAAUGUGGUGUUCCUACGGACACACACCAACCUCUUCACGAUCCAGCUCGAGUCACUGCAGUUCAAGAAAAUUUUCAGACCCAACAUCAUGACUCGCUAUCAUCCGUUCGAAAGUGUCUAUGCUGCAGGCACGGGCAUUGGUGGUGGACAUGAUGGAGCUGAACUUUUGCGCAAUACAUAA
rnacentral:rRNA from 1 species